rnacentral:lncRNA from 1 species
GUUCCAUGGACCCCCAAGGCUGCAGAGGUGUGCUUUCCUCUUGUUUUCCCCUGGAAUGCAAUGAAUCUCGGCGCCAUCUCCUUAGUGUCAUCAUCAGGCAUCUUGUUGUCAUCGAAUUUCGUUCCCCGGACCCCAAGGCUGCAUAGGUGGGAUUCUCACAACCGCCAGUUGCCAUGACGUUUCAAGUAACUUGAGGAUAACCUCCAGAGAUCCUACCAUAUAUAUGAAUGUUGGAGGCCAGCAAGCCCCGCCUCAUAUUUGUGCAUCCCUCUGAAGUCCCUGGCUGGCAUGUACUUCAGGGGACACGCCAGCAACCCAUCUUUGGCUUUGAAAGUCUCCAUGGAAUCUUGAGGACGCAUAGAGACUCAUGCAAAGGGCAAUGCUGGUUUCAUACUGUCCUCACCUUUCCAGCGAUGUUCAUCGCACCCCACACGAGAGCGUAGCAUGACGCUGUUGCUGCUAACUUGUGAUACAGAGCCUUAGAAGGAUUUCGUAGAGUGGCAUGAGUGUGAUGGAUAGAUAGAGAGAACAUGUCAAGUGCCUCAUCAGAGCGUGGCUGAAGCCUUAUGCCUGGCUGUGCAGUUUGACGCCCUCCAGCAGAGGAUCCAGGCCUACCGAGCCGGCGAGGAGACGCGCAAAGCCGAGGCUGUGAAGGCAGCACGUAAGAUUUCCAACACACCUGCUCCAAUUUGGCCGGGGACCCCCUGUCUGAAACCUCCUGUAAAACUCAGAAUGCGUUACGUUUGCCCUUGCAUGUAGAUUCAGGCAACCACGCGUAUGUCAUCCCUUGACUGAUGAUCCUGUUCUUGCUUCUGGAAGCUUGUCAGACUGAUGCAGUAUUUAUCGGCAUCACAAUGCAGAGGAAGCCCACAAGGAGCAGAUGGCAGCAGAAAAGAUGCAAGUAUUGCACAUGCGGCAAGAGCUGGAUGGAAUGUUGCUGCAGCUGGAGAGCCUGAAGCAGACAGAUUGAACGACAUCACAUGCAAUGUCAUAUAGGAACGUAUUUGCACUGUCAGGCAUCAAUUGUAAUGUAUUCACACUAAGUAUAGUCAUAUCGAUUCUGGGAUUGUGAGUCUUGGGUGUUUUAAGCGCACCUAUUCAAGACAGAUUUGGCCAUAGAACUUCAGUAAAGACCAAUCAACAACCUAAAUGUAGUCAUCCAACGUAUCAUUGCCGUGGUCACCGAGUAGGCAAUUGCUGCAAGUGCCACAAA